rnacentral:misc_RNA from 1 species
CGAGCCGCGAUCUGGAGUAACGUUACGAUAUCGUUUGUGGUUAGAAUAAAAUUAAAAUGAACUUGGAUUUGAAUUUAGAACUUUACAAAUUUCAAUGAUAUUCGUGCUAGUGAUAAAAUAUCUUUUCUGAAGCUGAGAAUACAUUCAAAGAGUAUUUCGUUAUGUGUAACGAAUAACGACAAACUUCAUAUUCUACACUGUACAACCAUAGGUAAACCGUACAAUCGCAGAUAUGCCAUGCAACUGAGGAUAAGCCGCAUAGAAGGUCGAAACACGGCCAAUGACGAGACCAGCCAACCUUUCCACCGACGUUGUCCUGUCCAACAACCUUUUCUGCUUCCUAAAUAAUUCCAUUGGUCGGACCACGUGGUGAAUUCGGUACGGAUCGUUCAAGCUACGAUAGCAUACUUUUAUCUACGUAUCAAUAAAAAGAAGGUAAGUAACGAAAUAAAAAAGUAAAUAUUGUCUGUUACCAUUUUCUGUUACCUUUCGCUGUUUCAUAGGUUUGUCGCGAGCUUACGUCGUUUU